rnacentral:rRNA from 1 species
UACGAGGGGGGCAAGUGUUGUUCGGAAUUACUGGGCGUAAAGGGCUCGUAGGUGGCCAACUAAGUCAGACGUGAAAUCCCUCGGCUUAACCGGGGAACUGCGUCCGAUACUGGAUGGCUUGAGUUCGGGAGAGGGAUGCGGAAUUCCAGGUGUAGCGGUGAAAUGCGUAGAUAUCUGGAGGAACACCGGUGGCGAAGGCGGCAUCCUGGACCGACACUGACGCUGAGGAGCGAAAGCCAGGGGAGCAAACGGG